rnacentral:rRNA from 1 species
UACGUAGGAGACGAGCGUUGUCCGGAAUCACUGGGCGUAAAGCGCACGUAGGCGGAUUGUUAAGUCAGGGGUGAAAUCCUGGAGCUCAACUCCAGAACUGCCUUUGAUACUGGCGAUCUCGAGUCCGGGAGAGGUGAGUGGAACUGCGAGUGUAGAGGUGAAAUUCGUAGAUAUUCGCAAGAACACCAGUGGCGAAGGCGGCUCACUGGCCCGGUACUGACGCUGAGGUGCGAAAGCGUGGGGAGCGAACAGG